GCAAACUUGGUCAUUUAGAGGAAGUAAAAGUCGUAACAAGGUCUCCGUUGGUGAACCAGCGGAGGGAUCAUUACUGAGUGUUACAACUCCCAAACCCUAUGUGGACACUACCAUUCGUUGCUUCGGUGGGACCGCCCCGGCGCCUCUGCGCGCCGGAACCAGGCGCCCGCCGGGGGCCCGAAACUCUUGUUUUGUCAGUGGAAUUUUCUCUGAGUGGCAUAAGCAAAUAAAUUAAAACUUUCAACAACGGAUCUCUUGGUUCUGGCAUCGAUGAAGAACGCAGC
rnacentral:misc_RNA from 1 species